GCGUCGGUGAUGGAAUUGGUAGACAUGCAGGAUUUAGGUUCCUGUGCCGCAAGGCGUGAGGGUUCAAGUCCCUCCCGACGCACCA
rnacentral:tRNA from 1 species